GAAGCACCUCCCCCAAAUCACCCGAUUGUUGUGUGAGGGAGGAACCGUGGCCCACGCGUUCCCCGCUGGGACCUCCUCCGCGGCGCGCUCCAGCGCUCGGGUCGAAGCCCUGCCCCCCCCCCCCGCCCCCCGCGCUGUGUCCCCUAUUCAGGGGGGUAGGGGUGUGAGCGGUUAGUAUAGGACCUUGGUCUCCUCGGACUUCUCCAAUGUGGGAGUGGAAAGCAAGGAAAAGGCAGGUUCUAAGGAGUGCCCUCAGGACUCGCUGUCCAGGAUUUGAUGGACAAGUCCUUGUUCUACCAAAAAGGGAAGUAAGACUUACCAGUUUGCUCUAGGAAGCAGAAAUUAAUCACAAGUCUGAGAACAACUUCUGUACAAGCAUCUCAGUAGGAGUAUUUGGGAAUCUAGCAUCAGUGCUUCAUUUUCAGUGUAGCUUACCCAGCUCUGCUUAUUUGGACUUUCUGGAACACAGCUCUGAUGAAGUCACUCUCCUAUACAAGAAAUUCAAGAUAGGAUUCAAGAAACAAUGAUUUCAACCGGCCUACCUUUCCAAUCUCAUCUGUAGGAUGUAUUAUAUUACAGUAAAAGUAAAAUGUUGGGAAAUGGACUGGACUUUCUUACCUCAUUUGGUCAACUUCUGGGACAUCUAAAUCUUGAUGUAAUACGGAAAUAAGUUGGACCUGCACCCAGCUAUAAUAGUAACCAAAGGAGCUUCUCUUUGAAAAGAGCAUAAAGGACUCAUUGGAAAUUGCUAACGAGACAUUUUGAAAAUAGACAAUAAAUCCUAGUUAUACAUAUGCGAAACUAUAAAAUUUGUAUUAUGGAAAAUUUUUAGUUUACUAAAACUCAUGCCUUUCCUGACACCCUCAAAAGGAGGUGGCAACUAAAAAAGAGAGAUUUUAAAUAACUCUAUAGAAGAUAGAAGAGAGAUAAAAAGAAAAAAGGGUUGCUAGAGCAGAAACUUUACAAACCAGAGCCAGUAGGUCAGCAGGAGCUAUUGGAGAAAGGAUUGAGAAGGAGAUAGGUGGCUGGGGAAGAGAGGAGCUUCAGAAGAAGAACAGAUGUGAUCAAUAGGAUUUUCAUCCGGAUUUCAGGCACAAUGUGUAAUGUAACCUUGCUUCUCUUUCAUUCCCCAUAUAGUCCUUAGUAAAGUAUCCAACUCUCUCCAAAGUCUUAGGGAGUUGAUUUUCUUUGUGGAACUCCUAAGAGGUGCUGAGUUGGCCUCCAACAAACAGAUUGAGAAUGUAGAGGGCCCUUGAACACAGCCAUGUCUUGGUUAAACCAUUAACGUACAAUGAAUAUACAGCGACUCUGAUGACAGUUCCAAGUCCUCCUUGGGAAGAAAAUGGCAAUCAUUGGAUUCAAUCACUCAAUAACUGGCAAUAAGUUGAUCCAGAAUGAUUUUCCCCCUAUAUAUUCUACUCUAUUUUUGUCCAGCAAAACCCAUGCUGCAUCUUGCUUUAGAAAUUUUACUGUGAUAUAUCUUGAUCUUUACUUGGGCACUUGCCCCUAGUGCAGUCCAUAUAUACAGAAAUCUAUUUAUAGCUUCUAUGGAAAAGUUUUUCUUUUCAAUAUGAUCUUUAAGUGCUGACUGGCUGCAAACAAUGAUAUUCUCUACGUCUGCCAUCUCUUUGUAAUAUCAGUGACCAUCUAAGCUCUUACUCACAAUGAACAAGCAAGUUAGAGAUGGGGUUUAAACCCUCUAGUAGGAUACAGUUGCUUCCUGCUUCACAUGAGAUCUGAAAAUAGAUUGCUCUACAUUGACAGUGACAAGACCCUUUCUGUCAACACUGUGAAGCUUCUAUCCUUCCUAAUCUCUGUCAGCGAUGGCUUAGGAAUGCCAAAAUACUUUAAUAGCUUAUGGGGCCAGUGUACAAAUGAUUGAUAUCUUAACUGUAUAUGAAAUUCCAGGACAGGCAGAGAAAUCAGAAGACUGGGGGAAAAGAGUCUAAAUGCAUUGCUUACUUUGGGGUUGGUUAAUCGACAUAUGUUCUACCAGUUUCCAUUGCUGUACCUCUCCUCUGUUGUCUUAUCUGAGAAUAUCUUCUUUUUUCACUUCAGUCUAUCUAAAAUUCACAUAGCUUAACCUAACUUCUAUUUUCCCUUAAUUUUGAGGCUUUUGCCAAAUUAAAAGUGAUUUCAUUCUCUACUGAACUUUUGUUUUACCUUUUUUAUGGUAUGUUUACAUUAUCUUAUGAUUUGAUUGCUUUCAUAACAUUAUAACACUCCCACUAGACUACCCAUACUCACCUUUAAAUGCACAGUGAAUAUAUAGGGCUCUAAGCUCGUUGAGAAACAAUGUGCAUGUGUGUACCUGCAUGUGGACACACACACGUGCACACACACACACACACAAACUAGAAGGAAAUAAACAAAAUGGUGGUAAUUGUACUUUCUGGCCUAUAGGCAUCUGUAUGAUCUCCAAUUUCUUCCUUUUACUUAUCUCUAUUUUUGAAAAAUGUCCAUCAUAAUAUCCAUUACUUUUUUUAAUGUAAAAUACAAUAAUAAACAUUUUUGAUCAGAAAUUCAAAUAUCUGAGUACUCCCUUUUCCAAACUUUUUUCCCCCCAAAAUACUCUCAAAUGAUAUCAAUAAAAUACAAGCCACUGACCAUGUAGGGUUAUUUGCAGGAAGGAUAAAUAAUCUUAGUUCUCAUGUUCAAUAAUGAAAACAAACUCAAGUAGCACCAGUUCAAGUGGUUUUCAAACUACUUUUUUAAAUGUUUAUUUAUUUAUUUUUGAGACAGAGAGAGAGAGAGAGAGAGAGGGAGAAUGCGCAAGGAGUAGGGGAAGACAGAGGAAGAGAGAGAGAAUUCCAAGCAGGAUUCACACUGUCAGUGUGGAGACUGACACAGGGCUCAAACUCAUGAAUGGUCAGAUCAUGACCUGAGCCAAAAUCAAGAGCUGGAUGCUUAACCAACUAAGCCACCCAAGCACCCCUCAAACUAUUUUUUAAGUAUAAUUCUGUUUUCACACAAAAUCUUACACAGACUCUUAAUAUUUAAAUAAUUUACACCAAGGUACAGGUUUCUCAGGUGGUCCUAAAUCUCUAGUGGUUGGAGCAAAUAUGCAUUUCCUUGGCUAGGAAAUCCCUAAAUCACUUUCAUGGAAUCUUGGGGUUCCUCUAGUCCAAUCCCCUUAUUUUUACUAUAGAGGAAAAUGAGAUGCAGAGAGGUUGUAAUAUCUGUCAAGAUAACUCAGCUGGUAACUAGAGCUUACACUUUCUAAGUCUAAGGUUCUGGCUAUUAUGCCAUAAUGUCCUAAUUCCUAAUUGCAAUUAUUUUAGAGCAUUACAUUUCUCUGACUCAAUUCUAGAUUGUGACAUACACGUGAUUUGAAUUCCUGGCUCCUUACCCUUUGCUAGUCUUCAAUGUCUAGAGUCCUGCUUUCAUUUGAGACCUCAGAGAUGGUUUCCCUGCCAAAAAUCUGAUACUCAAUAGCUUUUAUCUGAUUUCCCAGGGCUUGUCUUAAUGCCUGGCCUAUUAUCUGACCAUAUGCUCAUUGCUACAUUGUUCCUCUUUUGACAGACAGGAUUUGUUUGAACCUGAAGGUUCAUCUUUUCUGUCUAUUACACAUUUGGGCUGACCUUGCAUUUUGAAAGCACUUCAGCUUCCACGUGCCUUUCUCUAAACUUACCACCGCCAAGCUGAGCAACACAUUUAGACUUUUCCGCGAUUAUGCUUUCUCUUUUUUGCCAAGCCCAUAGAGAAAAUCCUUGAGUACAUUCUGUCUUGGUCUUCUAAGAAUGAUUGAAGUGAUAUAGAACUUCUUUUUUUUUUUUUCAUGCACACAAGUCUACAAAGUAAUGGUAUAAGACAACAAAUGACUAAGCUUUUCUCUAAAAUCAGGAACAACACAAGGGUGCCCACUCACACCCCUCUCAACAUAGUUCUAGAAGUCCUAAAGCAAUCAGGCAAGAAAAAGUAACAAAAGUUAACAGAAUUGGAAAGGAAAAAGUAAAAUUGUUUCUAUUUGCAGAUGAUAUGAUUUUUAUAGACAAAAUCCUGAAGACUCAACCAAAAAACUGUGAGGUCUAAUUCAUGAAUUCAAUAAAGUUUCAGUAUACAAAAUUCAUAUAUUAACAUGUAAAAAUCAGUAGUAUUUCUCUACACUAACAACAAAUUUUCUGAGAAAAAAAUUAAAAAGUCAAUACUAUUUAUACCAGCAUCAAAAAGAAUAAAAUACUUAGGAAUAAAUUUAACUAAGAAGGUGAAAAAUCUCUAUGCUGAAAACUAAGACAUGGAUGAAAGUAAUUGAAGAAGACACAAAUAAAUGAAAAGGUAGCCUGUGUUCAUGGAUUGGAAAAUUAAUGUUAAAAUGUCAAUACUACCAAAAGGCAUCUAUAGUUUCAAUGCAAUCCCUAUCAAGAUUCCAAUGACAUUUUUUUACAGAAGUAGAAAAAUUACUCCUAAAGUUUAUAAAGAACCACAGAAGACUCCAAAUAGCCAAAGAAAUCCUGAGAAAGAAGAACAAAACAGGAGAAUUCACACUUCCUGAUUUCAAGCUAUACUCUAAAGCUACAGUCAUCAAAACAGUGUGGUACCGGCAUAAAAACAGACAAAUAGACCAAUGAAAUAGAACCAAGGGCCUAGAAAUGAACCUAAGCAUAUAGAGUCGCUAAUAUUUGACAAGGAAGCCAAAAAUAGUUUAAAUAUAUGAUGUUGGGAUAUUUGCAUACUCCCACAUACAAGAAUGAAACUGGACCCGUAUCUUACACUACUCACAAAAAUCAACUCGAAAUGGAUUAAAGACUUAAAUGCAAGACCUAAAACUGUGAAAUUCCUAGAGGAAGGUAUAGUAAUAAGAUCUUCACCAUGGGUCCUGGUAAUGAUGUUUUGGAUAUCACACUGAAAGCAUAAGUCACAGAAUAAAAAUAAACAAGUGGGAUUAUGUCAAACUAAAAGGAUUUGUGCAGCAAAAGAAACCAUCAAUAAAGUGAAAAGACAACAUACAGAAUGGGAAAAAAUAUUUGCAAACAUGUGUCUGAUAAGAAAUUAAAUAAAAAUAUAUAUAAACAACUCCUUAGACUCCAUAAGGAAGUAAGAAUAAUAAUCUAAUUUAAAAAUAGGCAAAGGGACUGAAUAGACAUUUCACAAAAGAAGAUAUGUGAAAGGCCAGCAGGUGCAUGAAAAGAUGCUCCACAUCAUUUGUCAUGAGGGAAAUGCAAACUAAAAUCACUAUGAGGUAUAUCACCUCACACCUGUUAGAAGGGCUGUCGUCAAAAAGACAACAGAUAACAAACGUUGGUGAGGAUACAGAGCAAAGGGAACCCCUGUGCACUUUUGAUGGAAAUGUAAAUUGGUGCAGCCACUAUGGAAAACAGGAUUGAGGAUCCUCAAAAAGUGUGGGGCGCCUGGGUGGCUCAGUCCUUUGAAUGUCUGACUUUGCCUCAGAUCAUGAUCUUGCGGUUUGUGGGUUUGAGCCCCGCAUCAGUCUCUGUACUGAAAGCUCAGAACCUGGAGCCUGCUUCAGAUUCUGUGUCUCCCUCUCUCUCUGCCCCUCCCCUACAUGUGUUCUGUCU